rnacentral:rRNA from 1 species
GUGAGGAAUAUUGCGCAAUGGAGGCAACUCUGACGCAGCCAUGCCGCGUGCAGGAAGAAGGCGCUACGCGUUGUAAACUGCUUUUAACCGGGAAGAAACCCCAGGACGUGUCCUGGGUUGACGGUACCGGAGGAAUAAGCACCGGCUAACUUCGUGCCAGCAGCCGCGGUAAUACGAAGGGUGCAAGCGUUAUCCGGAUUCAUUGGGUUUAAAGGGUGCGUAGGCGGAGCGUUAAGUCAGUGGUGAAAUCCUGCAGCUUAACUGUAGACUUGCCAUUGAUACUGGCGCUCUUGAGUGCGCUUGAAGUGGGCGGAAUGUGCCGUGGAGCGGUGAAAUGCUUAGAUAUGGCACAGAACACCAAUUGCGAAGGCAGCUCACUAAGGCGAUACUGACGCUGAGGCACGAAAGCGUGGGGAGCAAACAGGAUUAGAAACCCGGGUAGUCC